UACGUAGGGGGCGAGCGUUGUCCGGAAUCAUUGGGCGUAAAGAGCGUGUAGGCGGCCAGGUAGGUCUGGUGUGAAAACUCGAGGCUUAACCUCGAGAUGUCAUCGGAAACCAUCUGGCUAGAGUCCGGAAGAGGAGAGUGGAAUUCCUGGUGUAGCGGUGAAAUGCGCAGAUAUCAGGAAGAACACCAAUAGGCGAAAGCAGCUCUCUGGGACGGUACUGACGCUGAGACGCGAAAGCGUGGGGAGCGAACAGG
rnacentral:rRNA from 1 species